AACGAACGCUGGCGGCAGGCCUAACACAUGCAAGUCGAACGUGAAGCCACCUUCGGGUGGUGGAAAGUGGCAGACGGGUGAGUAACGCGUGGGAACGUGCCUUUCGGUUCGGGAUAACCCAGGGAAACUUGGGCUAAUACCGGAUGCGCCCUCCGGGGGAAAGAUUCAUUGCCGAAAGAUCGGCCCGCGUCGGAUUAGCUAGUUGGUGGGGUAAAAGCCUACCAAGGCGACGAUCCGUAGCUGGUCUGAGAGGAUGACCAGCCACACUGGGACUGAGACACGGCCCAGACUCCUACGGGAGGCAGCAGUGGGGAAUAUUGGACAAUGGGCGCAAGCCUGAUCCAGCCAUGCCGCGUGGGUGAAGAAGGCCCUAGGGUUGUAGACCCCUUUCAGCGGGGAAGAUAAUGACGGUACCCGCAGAAGAAGCCCCGGCUAACUCCGUGCCAGCAGCCGCGGUAACAC
rnacentral:rRNA from 1 species